CCUCACAGGACAAACUGCAGAAGAGCAGAGAGCUGGUCCAUCGUGACUGAGCAGGGAGGGUGUUGGAGGCAGAGCACCCAGUCUGGUGCCCGUGUAGUGCAGCAGUGCCAGGCACCCCAGUGCAGGGGAGCCACUGCAGCCUGAAGCAACGCCAACAGCAAGUAGACAAAACCCAUACCUGAACGCAGAAUGGCUUCCUGCUCCAGGAAAUAAAGACACACGUCUCUAGCCUCCCAUCUCACUGGAAGACCUUCUUUCCUGCCCACGUACCCCAUCCAUGAACGUAUUCUGGCUCUUGGUAUAAUACUUCAGAAGAAACAAGACUAAAGAAAACAUGUGAAAUAAGCAAAAGUUACCAUAUUGCUGGGAUCUAUGUCAUCUUUCACUUGAGAAGCACCAGACUUCACAGGACAUGCUACAAACUCAUAAGCUCUUUCUUGAUGUGCAGGAACAUCAUCUGUAUUCUCAGUUCUAUGAUCAGCAGUCUUCAUGUGCAUUGGACAACCUUAAAUACAAGAGUAGUAUACAUUCUGCUACCAGAUGAAAACUCUAAGACGUGAAAUGGAAAAGUUCACUGAAGGCUCACAUAAAUGCAAAUGGCUAUUUCACUCUUUCUUCUGAGCUUUUCAACAGUUUUAACUGCUCUCUUUCCUGCAUCUCAGGACCCAAAAUCAUUAUAAGAUCUGA